GCCCCGGUAGCGCAGUAGGCAGCGUCAGUCUCCAUAAUCAUCACAGCGAGUAACUGAAGGUCGUGAGUUCGAUCCUACCCGGGCA